UACGUAGGGGGCUAGCGUUGUCCGGAAUCAUUGGGCGUAAAGCGCGUGUAGGCGGUCCGGUAAGUCCGCUGUGAAAGUCGGGGGCUCAACCCUCGGAUGCGGGUGGAUACUGUCGGGCUUGAGUGCGGAAGAGGCGAGUGGAAUUCCUGGUGUAGCGGUGAAAUGCGCAGAUAUCAGGAGGAACACCAAUUGCGAAGGCAGCUCGCUGGGACGUUACUGACGCUGAGACGCGAAAGCGUGGGGAGCAAACAGG
rnacentral:rRNA from 1 species